rnacentral:rRNA from 1 species
UACGAAGGGUGCAAGCGUUACUCGGAAUUACUGGGCGUAAAGCGUGCGUAGGUGGUUCGUUAAGUCUGAUGUGAAAGCCCUGGGCUCAACCUGGGAAUGGCAUUGGAUACUGGCGGACUGGAGUGCGGUAGAGGAUGGCGGAAUUCCCGGUGUAGCAGUGAAAUGCGUAGAGAUCGGGAGGAACACCGAUGGCGAAGGCAGCCUCCUGGGCCAACACUGACGCUCAUGCACGAAAGCGUGGGGAGCAAACAGG